GGAUUAGAUACCCUGGUAGUCCACGCUGUAAACGAUGAGUGCUAGUUGUCGGGGGCCUUUGGCUUUCGGUGACGCAGCUAACGCAUUAAGCACUCCGCCUGGGGAGUACGGUCGCAAGAUUAAAACUCAAAGGAAUUGACGGGGGCCUGCACAAGCGGUGGAGCAUGUGGUUUAAUUCGAAGCAACGCGCAGAACCUUACCAGCCCUUGACAUCCUGGUCGCGGAUUAGAGAGAUCUUUUCCUUCAGUUCGGCUGGACCAGUGACAGGUGCUGCAUGGCUGUCGUCAGCUCGUGCCG
rnacentral:rRNA from 1 species